GAUGAACGCUAGCUACAGGCUUAACACAUGCAAGUCGAGGGGCAGCGGGAUUGAAGCUUGCUUCAAUUGCCGGCGACCGGCGCACGGGUGAGUAACGCGUAUCCAACCUUCCGUACACUCAGGGAUAGCCUUUCGAAAGAAAGAUUAAUACCUGAUGGUAUGAUGAGAUUGCGUGAUAGCAUCAUUAAAGAUUUAUCGGUGUACGAUGGGGAUGCGUUCCAUUAGGUAGUAGGCGGGGUAACGGCCCACCUAGCCGACGAUGGAUAGGGGUUCUGAGAGGAAGGUCCCCCACAUUGGAACUGAGACACGGUCCAAACUCCUACGGGAGGCAGCAGUGAGGAAUAUUGGUCAAUGGACGAGAGUCUGAACCAGCCAAGUAGCGUGAAGGAUGAAGGUCCUACGGAUUGUAAACUUCUUUUAUAAGGGAAUAAACCCUUCACGUGUGGGAGCUUGUAUGUACCUUAUGAAUAAGCAUCGGCUAACUCCGUGCCAGCAGCCG
rnacentral:rRNA from 1 species